rnacentral:rRNA from 1 species
CAGGACAGGGCGGGAACUCGGCCUCUUGCAUUCGAUGGCUAGAUGUAUAGCUGUAGGUGGGUUACCGCUCACCUAGCGCACCAUCUAGGUUGGUGAAGGAAUGACAAGCACAUUGAUCGAGUUCACCGAUCAGACUCGUACGGAGCAGCAGUGGGGUAUCAUUGCAUCUGAUGGGCGGCAGCAUGAUGCAUGUCAUGCCGUUGUGUAUGAAGCACGGCGUCGGGUGUAUAGUACUUUCAGCGGGGAGAAGCGAUGAUGUUACUAUCUCGGCGAUCGACGUCACCCUGCAGAGAAGCACCGACUACCUCCGUACCAGCAGCCGCGGUAUAUGGAGGGUGCGAGUCGUUAAUCGGAAACUACUGGGCGUAAAGCUCACGCGGGCGGUCUGUCAAGUCGGGAUGUGAAAUCCGGGGGGCUCAACGGGGGAUCCGCAUUAGAAACCGCAGAAUAGACUCUUGUAGAGGGGGGGUAGAAUUCCAGGUGUAGCGGUUAAAUGCGUAGAUAUCUGGAUUAAUACGGGUGGCGAGGGAGUCCCCCUGCACAAAGACAGACGCUCAGGUGCGAUAGCGUGGGGAGCACACAGGUUUAGAUCCCGUGGUUGUCCACGCUGUAAACGAUGUCGACUUGGAGGUUGUGCCCCUGAGGCGUGGCUUCAGGAGUUAACGCGUUAAGUCGACCGCCUGGGGAGUACGGCCGCAAGGUUAAAACUCUAAUGAAUUGACGGGGGCCCGCACAAGCGGUGGAGCAUGUGGUUUAAUUCGAUGCAACGCGAAGAACCUUACCUACUCUUGACAUCCAGAGAACUUAGCAGAGAUGCUUUGGUGCCUUCGGGAACUCUGAGACAGGUGCUGCAUGGCUGUCGUCAGCUCGUGUUGUGAAAUGUUGGGUUAAGUCCCGCAACGAGCGCAACCCUUAUCCUUUGUUGCCAGCGGUUAGGCCGGGAACUCAAAGGAGACUGCCAGUGAUAAACUGGAGGAAGGUGGGGAUGACGUCAAGUCAUCAUGGCCCUUACGAGUAGGGCUACACACGUGCUACAAUGGCGCAUACAAAGAGAAGCGACCUCGCGAGAGCAAGCGGACCUCAUAAAGUGCGUCGUAGUCCGGAUUGGAGUCUGCAACUCGACUCCAUGAAGUCGGAAUCAGCUAGUAAUUGUGGAUCCAUAAGAACCCCGCGAAACCC